GCCCUUAGAGUUUGAUCCUGGCUCAGGACGAACGCUGGCGGCGCGCCUAACACAUGCAAGUCGAACGGAGCUUAGAGAGCUUGCUUUUUAAGCUUAGUGGCGAACGGGUGAGUAACGCGUGAGUAACCUGCCCUAGAGUGGGGGACAACAGUUGGAAACGACUGCUAAUACCGCAUAAGCCCACGGUACCGCAUGGUACUGAGGGAAAAGGAUUUAUUCGCUUUAGGAUGGACUCGCGUCCAAUUAGCUAGUUGGUGAGGUAACGGCCCACCAAGGCGACGAUUGGUAGCCGGACUGAGAGGUUGAACGGCCACAUUGGGACUGAGACACGGCCCAGACUCCUACGGGAGGCAGCAGUGGGGGAUAUUGCACAAUGGGGGAAACCCUGAUGCAGCGACGCCGCGUGGAGGAAGAAGGUUUUCGGAUUGUAAACUCCUGUCGUUAGGGACGAUAAUGACGGUACCUAACAAGAAAGCACCGGCUAACUACGUGCCAGCAGCCGCGGUAAAACGUAGGGUGCAAGCGUUGUCCGGAAUUACUGGGUGUAAAGGGAGCGCAGGCGGGAAGACAAGUUGGAAGUGAAAACCAUGGGCUCAACCCAUGAAUUGCUUUCAAAACUGUUUUUCUUGAGUAGUGCAGAGGUAGAUGGAAUUCCCGGUGUAGCGGUGGAAUGCGUAGAUAUCGGGAGGAACACCAGUGGCGAAGGCGGUCUACUGGGCACCAACUGACGCUGAGGCUCGAAAGCAUGGGUAGCAAACAGGAUUAGAUACCCUGGUAGUCCAUGCCGUAAACGAUGAUUACUAGGUGUUGGGGGAUUGACCCCCUCAGUGCCGCAGUUAACACAAUAAGUAAUCCACCUGGGGAGUACGACCGCAAGGUUG
rnacentral:rRNA from 1 species